rnacentral:rRNA from 1 species
AUUGAACGCUGGCGGCAUGCCUUACACAUGCAAGUCGAACGGUAACGUGGGGCAACCUGGCGACGAGUGGCGAACGGGUGAGUAAUGCAUCGGAACGUACCCAGUAGUGGGGGAUAGCCCGGCGAAAGCCGGAUUAAUACCGCAUACGACCUACGGGUGAAAGGGGGGGAUCGCAAGACCUCUCGCUAUUGGAGCGGCCGAUGUCAGAUUAGGUAGUUGGUGGGGUAAAGGCCUACCAAGCCUUCGAUCUGUAGCUGGUCUGAGAGGACGACCAGCCGCGCUGGGACUGAGAGACGGCCCAGACUCCUACGGGAGGCAGCAGUGGGGAAUUUUGGACAAUGGGCGAAAGCCUGAUCCAGCCAUGCCGCGUGCGGGAAGAAGGCCUUCGGGUUGUAAACCGCUUUUGUCAGGGAAGAAACGCUCUGAGUUAAUACCUCGGGGUAAUGACGGUACCUGAAGAAUAAGCACCGGCUAACUACGUGCCAGCCGCCGCCGUAAAAC